UACGUAGGGGCUAGCGUUGUCCGGAAUCAUUGGGCGUAAAGCGCGUGUAGGCGGUCCGGUAAGUCCGCUGUGAAAGUCGGGGGCUCAACCCUCGGAUGCCGGUGGAUACUGUCGGCUUGAGUACGGAAGAGGCGAGUGGAAUUCCUGGUGGUAGCGGUGAAAUGCGUAGAGGAUGAUGGAGGAACACCGAUGGCGAAGGCAGCC
rnacentral:rRNA from 1 species